rnacentral:rRNA from 1 species
UGGCGAACGGGUGAGUAACGCGUGAGGAACCUGCCUCAAAGAGGGGGACAACAGUUGGAAACGACUGCUAAUACCGCAUAAGCCCACGACCCGGCAUCGGGAAGAGGGAAAAGGAGCAAUCCGCUUUGAGAUGGCCUCGCGUCCGAUUAGCUAGUUGGUGAGGUAACGGCCCACCAAGGCAACGAUCGGUAGCCGGACUGAGAGGUUGAACGGCCACAUUGGGACUGAGACACGGCCCAG